rnacentral:tRNA from 1 species
CCAUAGCUCAGUGGAUUAGAGUGUUGGCCUCCGAAGCCAAAGACGCGGGUUCGACUCCCGCUGGAC